GGGGGGGGGGGGGGGGGGGGGGGGGGGGGGGGGGGCGGGGGGGGGGGGGGGGGGCGGGGGGCGGGGGCGGGAGCGGGGGGCGGGUGGGUAGCCCGGGGGUAACCGGGCUGUACGCCUGGGCUACCUCCGGGAAGCCGGCGCUAAUGACGGCUAAUAUAUUGAACCGCAUGUUUCAAUAGUGAAAGACGUUUAUGCUGUCCCUUAUCGCUGGAUCCGCGCCGAAUUAGCUAGUUGGUAAGGUAACGGCUUACCAAGGCAACGAUGCGUAGCCGACCUGAGAGGGUGAUCGGCCACACUGGAACUGAGACACGGUCCAGACUCCUACGGGAGGCAGCAGUAGGGAAUCUUCCGCAAUGGGCGAAAGCCUGACGGAGCAACGCCGCGUGAGUGAUGAAGGUCUUCGGAUCGUAAAACUCUGUUAUUAGGGAAGAACAAAUGUGUAAGUAACUAUGCACGUCUUGACGGUACCUAAUCAGAAAGCCACGGCUAACUACGUG
rnacentral:rRNA from 1 species